CGUUGGGGCAGUAAAUCUUAAUUCAAAAUUUUAAAUUUCUAAAAAAUCACGAGUUACAAGAAUACCUAGUAGGAGAACAUCUUCAAAAUAAACUCAGUGUAAUCAUAGGCUACACAGUAAUGUGUUGUCCCUGGGAGCAGAGAUCCUUCAGAUUUUGGAUGGGUGCUUAAGCUCCACAUCAGUACUCUGGGACAGGAAGGAGAGGGAGACGGGUGUGGAAGAGAGAGAAGAAACACUCGGAGUGGGUAAUUUAAGGAAAAUUUCCUAACAAAAAUAUUUCAAAGACUUGGGCUGAUUAUGAGAAACCCUAAGGGAAAAUGCAGUCAUCCAGCAGGUGAGCACCCUAAGACUAGAGGGAAGGAAGAGAGCCACUGGGUGCGGGGACUGCUGCCUGCUCGGACCCUUGGGAAGGAAGGAACCGGCUGGGAGGGGAGGAUAGGUUCCCAGGGUCACUGUCCCGCAUCCGUCCCAGGACUGCUGGGUGCCCCUCGGAGCCAGAAAUGCUCAGUAAUGUCGGUGCGGAUCGCCCCCUUGGGUACAGCGCAGAGGAAGACUAGAGCGUGUGUGCGGGAGACGAGCUGCCGAGAUGUGGCCUGCCUGCCUGCUCACCGCCCCUGUUUGUAUUUUGGGGAGGUAAACGGUAGGCCCAGGAAUCUGAAUUUUGAAGAGCUACAUGGGUGGUCCUGAUGAACGGGUAGAUCCCUGCACAGAAUUCCUCUCAAGUGAACCAUCAGCACUGAGAUGUGUAGUACGGCCUACGUGGACACCCAACUUCACGGACCGCACUUUCACAAUCACAUUUCACCAUCACGGUUUCACGCAUGUAUUUUUUGAUAGUACGAAAAGCUCUGUGCUUUUACUUUAACGUACUUAAAAGGGAGAAAACCAGAACUAAAUUAGACUACGAAUUCUGUGAAGAAUGCACUUUGAAUGUAUUUUUAUCUCGAAUACCCAUCAUAGCAGUACGAUGCGGGCGUCUCACAAUAAGACAGUUACUAACACAUCCAUGAGGAGGUUUCCUUUUUCAUGCAAACUUCACAGUAAGUAGGAUGCAUAACGUUUUUGUAUAGAAAUAGUACAUAAAUUUGUUCAUCCCAAAAAGACACCAAAAGUAAGCGUAGCUUUAGGUAAAAUGACCUCUUUGAAGUGUUUCCAAAUUUUCCUGCUUGUUUAUGAGUAUUACUAAUUUCACCCUUUGACUUCUCUUUGUUCUGCACGUCCAUAUUGGUCAAUUUUGCUAUGAGAGGAGAUGUUUCUAUGGGCAGGGGCUGGGAGAAAUGGCAACUCUGGAAACUACCUUCAAUAUGGAACUGAAAAUAACUGACGGAGAGCUGUGGAUCAACUUCUACAAACGGGUGAUAGCGGAAGCAGCCGUAAAGAAUAUUUCUAUGAAGUCAUCUCUGAAACGCAGAAGGGAAGGGAAAAUGAUGGGUUUUCUAUGGAUGUUCCACUCCGCUUCAGUCUGAACCCGCUGAAAACUCAUAACUCCAGUUCAUAUCUCCUAAGAAGAUCAAGGAAAGACUUUGAAGAUUAAUGGAAUUAACUUUAAAAAGUGAUGAAGUUUUCAUAAGGUGGAAAGUCUCAUAAGACAUAAAACAAACUUAAACACGACUUAAUGAAAAUUUUAGAAAUGAAACUGUAGGGCCAUCUGAAGUACCCUGACUCCACAGAAUUCUUCAACAAAGAAAUAGAAAGGUCCAGUCUGCCAAAUAGGAGCAAAACAUCCAGUUUUUUAUUAUUGUGCGAAGUUGGGCUGUUCUCUUACUGAACAAAGCUGGGAUAAAAUUGGGCAGCAGACAUGAACGGAUGCAUCCUCAUGGUUACCUGCUGUGAGAAACCACUAUAUUGUGUUAACGUAGUCUGUGCAAAGUUGAAUGCAGAUCUGAUGUCACGUUUUGUGGAAAAGUUCUUUGUUUUAAACCACUGCCACUUAAAGAUGAUCUCAGCCUCCACUUUGCUGGAAUAGCUGCAUGGAUUUGACCGAUUGACUUGAUCUGUGAGUGUCAGUUUCUUCAAUCAAUGAAGACCCUGAGAUCUGUGUGUCUACCCGACAGGUUCACGGUGAGGACUACAUCCUCGAAGUGUAACAGUCUCCCCCAAAAAUAUGGAUUACUUCUCCUUAUCUACCUUCUCAUUUGCUAAACAAUAUUUUUAUCAAGGCUUUCUGUUAAAUAUCCUUAAGUAUCAAAGUUCUCAUUUGCUAUUUCAUGAUGACAAAAUGCAAAGGAAAGAGUAGUUUUUAAGCUGUUGGACUUAGAGUUCAGUGAUUCUUUGGGAAACUGAGGCAGAACACAGCCAUCUCCAUACCUCUUCACAGAUAUGUUUCUCACUUCAGAUCUCUUCAUUCUUCAUUGUCCCCAAGUCAGGUGUGCCAGGGUAGCCUAAUACACAAUAUCAAACUGAUCAAAACCAAACACAACUGGGAGCGAUAAGCAUACUUUGUUUGAAGAAGCCCAUUGUUCCUGGGGCCGUGUGACCCCUGGAGUGGGAGAGAGCCAAGUUCAAAUCCCAGUUACAUCACUUCAGCUGUGUGAUCCCAAGAAGGUGGGCGAACUGGCUGAGCCUCAGUUUCUAGGUCAACCACAGGUUGACACAGGUUCCAGGACCUCACCACAGGUCUACAGGCUAAUCUGGCACUGCCAAGGUCCAGGUGGAUUUGCAGAAUGAAUGAGGAUUAAUCUCUUGUCUGCUUCUGCAUGGAUCUCUGCUGAGGCCCUAUAUCUAGUACUGUAUUUGUGCUUUUUAUUUAUUUUCUUCAGUGCGGUGUAGCUUGAAACAGGGUACUUCUAGGAAGGCUAGACUGGCCUCCCACUCGGGGCAACCCUCCUGCCUCAUCAUCCCCCUACUGGGGUUUCAGACAUGUGUCA